GUUUUUCUGUGUUAUUUGGCAAGAUUAAGUGAUCUGAAAAAAUAAAUUCUCCCUUACAGUUUCUGUGUGUGAAGCCAAUACCUGCUUGGAAGAUUAUUCACUAAACAGUUUGUUUGAAUAGACACCCAAAAUACAAAACAUGGGCUAGCCGCCAAAUCUCCUAGUAUAGAGUCCAAACUUGUACAUCUGUAGUUGUUUGGCAGGGAGUUUUGGAAAGUAUCAUGCAACAGCAGAGGGAGGGUGAAGGACAGACACC